rnacentral:tRNA from 1 species
GCGUCGUAGCGUCCAAGAUGCCCUGCGGAGGCAGAGGUCGCAAGUUCGAAUCUUGCCGGGCGCA